rnacentral:lncRNA from 1 species
AUGCUCUUCAAUUACAUUUUUUUUUUGGUGAGCAUGCUCUUCAAUUACAUAGUGUGUUAGUAUUUAUUAUCUGCAUGCAUUGAUUAUAGGAUAUAUUCUAUUUAUCUUAAAUGUUGUUUCUAUCAAAACCAAAAACAACAUAAAAAAACAUCAUAUUUCUAAAAUAUAUCUGAGCAGAGCCGGCCAUGAGGCCAAGCAAGGCAAGCUUGUGUUUGCGGCCCCAAAUCCCCCAUAUAUAUAAUCGGCCACAUUUUUAACAAUAAUGUUCAAGUAGUCUAGUGGUUUUAAGUGUGUUAUAAUGUGUGCAGAUGACCAAUUCGAAUCCACUAACUCUGUUUUCAAUGUUUUUUUUUUUUUUUUCAUUUUUAAUUUUUUCUUACAAAUCAUAGGUUUAAUAUUAUUUUUUGUUGCUUGUGGCCUUCAAAUUCUCAGGGACGGCUCUGUAUCUCAGUGAUGGACAAACCAAACGUAGAUUAGUGAAAGAAAAUGCUCAAAACCCUAAGUCUUCUAUCGUGACGAAGUAGAACUCGCAAAAACGGGAAAUCGUCGAAGAAAAGAAAUCCAAAACUUAUUUUAUUGGAAUCAAAUCUAUCACGAGAAGACGUUUGACAUCUCAAUCGUUAUAAAUUUCAAUAA